rnacentral:rRNA from 1 species
CCUACGGGCGGCAGCAGUCGAGAAUCAUUCACAAUGGGGGAAACCCUGAUGGUGCGACGCCGCGUGGGGGAAUGAAGGUCUUCGGAUUGUAAACCCCUGUCAUGCGGGAGCAAAUUAAAAAGAUAGUACCACAAGAGGAAGAGACGGCUAACUCUGUGCCAGCAGCCGCGGUAAUACAGAGGUCUCAAGCGUUGUUCGGAAUCACUGGGCGUAAUGCGUGCGUAGGCUGUUUCGUAAGUCGUGUGUGAAAGGCGCGGGCUCAACCCGCGGACUGCACAUGAUACUGCGAGACUAGAGUUAUGGAGGGGGAACCGGAAUGCUCGGUGUAGCAGUGAAAUGCGUAGAUAUCGAGAGGAACACUCGUGGCGAAGGCGGGUUCCUGGACAUUAACUGACGCUGAGGCACGAAGGCCAGGGGAGCGAAAGGGAUUAGAUACCCCAGUAGUC